GAUGAACGCUAGCGGGAGGCCUAACACAUGCAAGCCGAGCGGUAUUGUUUCUUCGGAAAUGAGAGAGCGGCGUACGGGUGCGGAACACGUGUGCAACCUGCCUUUAUCUGGGGGAUAGCCUUUCGAAAGGAAGAUUAAUACUCCAUAACAUAUUGAACGGCAUCGUUUGAUAUUGAAAGCUCCGGCGGAUAGAGAUGGGCACGCGCAAGAUUAGCUAGUUGGUGAGGUAACGGCUCACCAAGGCGAUGAUCUUUAGGGGGCCUGAGAGGGUGAUCCCCCACACUGGUACUGACACACGGACCAGACUCCUACGGGAGGCAGCAGUGAGGAAUAUUGGUCAAUGGGUGCAAGCCUGAACCAGCCAUCCCGCGUGAAGGACGACUGCCCUAUGGGUUGUAAACUUCUUUCGUAUAGGGAUAAACCUACUCUCGUGAGGGUAGCUGAAGGUACUAUACGAAUAAGCGCCGGCUAACUCCGUGCCAGCAGCCGCCGUAAGAC
rnacentral:rRNA from 1 species